rnacentral:rRNA from 1 species
UACGAAGGUGGCAAGCGUUACUCGGAAUUACUAGGCGUAAAGGGCAGGUAGGCGGUUUGAUAAGUCUGUUGUGAAAGCUCCCGGCUUAACUGGGAGAGGUCAACAGAUACUGUCGAACUUGAGUAUGGGAGAGGGUACUGGAAUUCCUGGUGAUAGCGGUGAAAUGCGCAGAUAUCAGGAGGAACACCGAUGGCGAAAGCAGGUACCUGGACCAUUACUGACGCUCGAGCUGCGAAAGCUAGGGGAGCAAACAGG